GCCGGGGUGGAGGAAUGGUAGACUCGAGGGACUUAAAAUCCCUUGGACUUAUGUCCGUGCGGGUUCGACUCCCGCCUCCGGCA
rnacentral:tRNA from 1 species